GAUGAAGAACGCAGCGAAAUGCGAUAAGUAAUGCGAAUUGCAGAAUUUCCGUGAGUCAUCGAAUCUUUGAACGCACAUUGCGCCCACUGGUAUUCCGGUGGGCAUGCCUGUUCGAGCGUCAUUAUCCUCCCUCAAACCCCGGGUUUGGUGUCGGACCCAAGUUGUGUGAACAACUGGUCUCAAAGACAAUGACGGCGUCCGUGGGACCCUCGGUGCAACGAGCUUUUAGGAGCACGCAUCGAGUUGCAAGGACCUUCCGGGCCGGUCUCCUUUACCAUUUUACAAGGUUGACCUCGGAUCAGGUAGGAAUACCCGCUGAACUUAAGCAUAUCAAUAAGCGGAGGA
rnacentral:misc_RNA from 1 species